rnacentral:rRNA from 1 species
GUGAGGAAUAUUGCGCAAUGGAGGCAACUCUGACGCAGCCAUGCCGCGUGCAGGAAGAAGGCGCUACGCGUUGUAAACUGCUUUUAACCGGGAAGAAACCCCAGGACGUGUCCUGGGUUGACGGUACCGGAGGAAUAAGCACCGGCUAACUUCGUGCCAGCAGCCGCGGUAAUACGAAGGGUGCAAGCGUUAUCCGGAUUCAUUGGGUUUAAAGGGUGCGUAGGCGGAGCGUUAAGUCAGUGGUGAAAUCCUGCAGCUUAACUGUAGACUUGCCAUUGAUACUGGCGCUCUUGAGUGCGCUUGAAGUGGGCGGAAUGUGCCGUGUAGCGGUGAAAUGCUUAGAUAUGGCACAGAACACCAAUUGCGAAGGCAGCUCACUAAGGCGAUACUGACGCUGAGGCACGAAAGCGUGGGGAUCGAACAGGAUUAGAAACCCGGGUAGUC